rnacentral:rRNA from 1 species
AGCUCCAAUAGCGUAUAUUAAAAUUGUUGCGUCUAAAAAGCUCGUAGUUCGAAAACUUGUCUUGGCUUUCAACUGGUACCGAAUGGUAUCGCCGUUAGUCAUGUGCAAAUAUGGAUAGCUGUUUUAGCCGUCUUUAUUGACUGGUUUAUAAGAGUUAUCAGAUAUCACUUUGAUUAAAUUAGAGUGCUUAAAGCAAGUGUGUUACUUGGAUAUAAAUGCAUGGAAUGAUGGAAUAUGUUGUUAUUCUAUUUGUUGGUUUUUGAAUGAUAAAAUGAUUGAAAGGAACUGUUGGGGGCAUUCGUAUUGUUGUGAGAGAGGUGAAAUUCUUAGACCACAGCAAGACGAACUACUGCGAAAGCAUUUGCCGAGAAUGUUUUCAUUGAUCAAGAACGAAAGUUAGAGGUUCGAAGGCGAUCAGAUACCGCCCUAGUUCUAACCAUAAACUAUGCCAACUAGCAAUUUGCUUUGUAUUUUUUAUGACUAAGUGAGAGGCCACGGGAAACCUAAGUAGGGUUAUGGGGGAAGUAUGGUUGCAAAGCUGAAACUUAAAGGAAUUGACGGAAGGGCACCACCAGGAGUGGAGCCUGCGGCUUAAUUUGACUCAACACGGGAAAACUUACCUGGUCCUGACACUAGAAGGAUUGACAGAUUGAUAGCUCUUUCUUGAUUUGGUGGAUGGUGGUGCAUGGCCGUUCUUAGUUGGUGGAGUGAUUUGUCUGGUUAAUUCCGAUAACGAACGAGACUCUAGCCUGCUAACUAGUCGCUUCCGACAUCCUUUUGCGCUGUCGGCGACACAUAAUCUUCUUAGAGGGACAGGCGG